CCUGCCUCCACAGCCUAUUAUGACAGGCUAUCAACUGUGGCCUGGGCAGCCACAGUUAGGCCUGAACUGCAUUGUCUAUAUGGAAGAGGAGGACUGAGGUCAGACAUCAAGGUCAAGACGGGAAAGGGAGUGAGGAGAACCCUUGACACUCUAGAAAUGGGGAGACUAAAGCUGAAAAAAGGAUACAUGAUGGACAAUGAUGCCUGGAUUAACCCAAAUAGGGAUUUCAGACAGAGAUUACACGGGUAUCCACCGCCUCCACCCCCACCCCCACGACCUACACAGCCGCAUACGGUCUCGGGCCAACCCCGGCUUCUUCAAUGCUCAGUGGUAAACCUGAACCCCUUUGAGGAGAGGAACACCAUCUUGGAGUUAGAGCAGGCCAACCAAAAACUGAAGGAUAUGAACCAGGAGCUGAGGGAGCAGCUCGAAGACAUCAUGGAGCCAAGGGAGAUGAGGCAUGACUUUAUGUGCCCCAACCAUCAGCAGCAAUUACAGAUCCUGUCUUGGAAAGAGCUGCAGCAGAUGAGGCUGUCCUUUGAGAGAAAGAAGACAUCUAUUACAGAGGUGUGGGAUGGCAUGAGUGAAGUUCACAUGUCCUUGACUGACCAGACUGAAGGACUUCUGAAUCUCAAAAAAGAUAUUGGAGAUGUGUUAAAGGAGGUGGAAGACAUACGAAUGGAAAUUCUUCGGGACAAGGCCCGGUACCACACUCUGACCAGGAAAGGCUUGCUUAUGCAGAAGAAGAAGCCGUCUCAGCCGCCCCCCCAGAUGUCCAGAUGACCAGAUGUCCAGG
rnacentral:lncRNA from 1 species